GUCCACGCCCUAAACGAUGGAUACUAGUCGUGAGAGGUAUCGACCCCUCUCGUGACCGUAGCUAACGCGUUAAGUAUCCCGCCUGGGGACUACGGCCGCAAGGUUGAAACUCAAAUGAAUUGACGGGGACCCCGCACAAGCGGUGGAGCAUGUGGUUUAAUUCGAUACUAACCGAAGAACCUUACCCAGGUUUGACAUCGAUCGCAAAGCGUUGAAAGGCGCUCCUCCCCCACAAGGGGACGUGAAGACAGAUGUUGCAUGGCUGUCGU
rnacentral:rRNA from 1 species